rnacentral:rRNA from 1 species
UACGUAGGCAGCGAGCGUUGUUCGGAGUUACUGGGCGUAAAGGGUGUGUAGGCGGUUGUUUAAGUUUGGUGUGAAAUCUCCCGGCUCAACUGGGAGGGUGCGCCGAAUACUGAAUGACUUGGAGUGCGGGAGAGGUGAGUGGAAUUCCUGGUGUAGCGGUGAAAUGCGUAGAUAUCAGGAGGAACACCGGCGGUGUAGACGGCUCACUGGACCGUAACUGACGCUGAAACGCGAAAGCGUGGGUA